rnacentral:tRNA from 5 species
GGGGCCAUAGCUCAGAUGGGAGAGCACCUGCUUUGCAAGCAGGGGGUCGGCGGUUCGAUCCCGCCUGGCUCCA